GUGCUCACUUCAGCAGCACAUAUACUAAAAUUGGAACAACACAGAGAAGAUUAGCAUGUCACUGUGCAAGGAUGAUGCACAAAUUCAUGAAGUGUUGCAUAUUUUU
rnacentral:snRNA from 1 species